UACAGAGGUGGCAAGCGUUGUUCGGAAUUACUGGGCGUAAAGGGCGCGCAGGCGGCUCAUUUUGUCAGGCGUGAAAGCCCCGGGCUUAACCUGGGAACUGCGUUUGAUACGGAUGGGCUAGAGUUCGGGAGAGGAGAGUGGAAUUCCCAGUGUAGAGGUGAAAUUCGUAGAUAUUGGGAAGAACACCGGUGGCGAAGGCGGCUCUCUGGACCGAUACUGACGCUGAGGCGCGAAAGCGUGGGGAGCAAACAGG
rnacentral:rRNA from 1 species